rnacentral:sRNA from 1 species
AUCGGCCUCGUCAUCGAAAGCGGC